UACAGGGGGGGCAAGCGUUGUUCGGAAUUACUGGGCGUAAAGGGCCAGUAGGCGGCCAACUAAGUCACACGUGAAAUCCCCAGGCUUAACCUGGGAACUGCGUGUGAUACUGGAUGGCUUGAAUUCGGGAGAGGGAUGCAGAAUUCCUGGUGUAGCGGUGAAAUGCGUUGAUAUCAGGAGGAACACCCAUGGCGAAGGCAGCUAACUGGGCAUUAUCUGACGCUGAGGCGCGAAAGCGUGGGUAGCAAACAGG
rnacentral:rRNA from 1 species